rnacentral:ncRNA from 1 species
AGUCGCUAGGGGAGCACAUGCUGAGAUUGUGUGUGGAAAUUGUGAAUAUCCGCACACUGACCCUCACUACCUGAACCGGGUAAUACCGGCGUAGGGAAGCAGAUUU